rnacentral:rRNA from 1 species
AAAUAGAACUUUGCAGAGAGAGUUAACAGGGCGUGAAACCGUUAAUUGGCAAACGAAUCGGAGCCACGAAGUCGUUUCGCUGAUUAGUUGGGCCAAGUUCAGUCCAAGAUCGCAAGAUUUUGGGUGUAUUCUUGUAGUCCAACCUAACAUUGUAAACGUACACUGCAACCAGUUAGACGAUUGGCGAUGGGCCCAGCUGGUUGGGGAGCAAUCCCCGGCUAGCGCAGCUAUUGUCCGCUUGGGCCAGCAGCAGCUUGGUGCGCCUCGGCGUAUUCGAGUUGUUGGGCGCAGGCGGGAGAACUAUCGCCAAACACUGACUGGCAAAAUAAAAAUCACUCGCAGAGUGUUUGAAUAGAACGCGGCCGUCCAUAUGGGUGUCCACAUGCUUGACCGUUUGGCUUAAGCUCAGCAUUUUUAAAUUCAAACUUGCUUGCUACCAGUGGGGCAACUCCUGGUGCUUGUAUUGCUUUGUCUAAUUGGGUGUUGACUUGGUUAGGCGUCGUUCGAGCAUGCAACGAUCGGGCGCUCAUGUGAGGUGGUUCGCAAUCAUUGGCAGUGAGUAGGUCGGCUUUCCGAACGA